rfam:Acyrthosiphon pisum strain LSR1 Contig41481, whole genome shotgun sequence.
AAAAAGGUUUUUUUCAAAAUCAUUAAUACUUUUUAACACAGUGCCU